rnacentral:tRNA from 1 species
GGAAAGGUGCUCGAGUGGCUGAAGAGGCACGCCUGGAAAGCGUGUAAUCGGCGAAACCGAUUCGGGGGUUCGAAUCCCCCUCUUUCCGCAA